UGCCAGCCGCCGCGGUAAUACGGAGGGGGUUAGCGUUGUUCGGAAUUACUGGGCGUAAAGCGCACGUAGGCGGAUCGGAAAGUUGGGGGUGAAAUCCCAGGGCUCAACCCUGGAACUGCCUCCAAAACUAUCGGUCUAGAGGAUGUGAGAGGUGAGUGGAAUUCCGAGUGUAGAGGUGAAAUUCGUAGAUAUUCGGAAGAACACCAGUGGCGAAGGCGACUCACUGGCACAUUUCUGACGCUGAGGCGCGAAAGCGUGGGGAGCAAACAGGAUUAGAUA
rnacentral:rRNA from 1 species